rnacentral:piRNA from 1 species
UACAGAAGAAUGGUUUCUAAUUUCACAUU